rnacentral:rRNA from 1 species
GAUGAACGCUGGCGGCGUGCUUAACACAUGCAAGUCGAACGGGAUCCAAGGGGUGCUUGCACUUUUUGGUGAGAGUGGCGAACGGGUGAGUAACACGUGAGUAACCUGUCCUUUUCUUUGGGAUAAGCAUUCGAAAGGGUGUUUAAUACCUUAUGUUCUGUCUGCCUCGCAUGGAGUGGGUGGGAAAGGCUUUGGCCGGAUUUGGGUGGGCUCGCGGUCUAUCAGCUUGUUGGUGGGGUGAUGGCUUACCAAGGCUUUGACGGGUAGCCGGCCUGAGAGGGUGGUCGGUCACAUUGGGACUGAGAUCCGGCCCAGACUCCUGCGGGAGGCAGCAGUGGGGGAUAUUGCACAAUGGGCGAAAGCCUGAUGCAGCGACGCCGCGUGGGGGAUGAAGGCCUUCGGGUUGUAAACUUCUUUUGCUCUGAACAAGGCAUGCCAGUGGGUGUGUUGAGUGUAGGGGUUGAUUAGCGCCGGCUAACUACGUG